GAAUGCUCGACGAAUUCCACCGUCCAUCUGGCGUUCUUGAUCGAGCCAUUGCGGUCUUGACACACGGAUUCUUCGUCUACCUCUGCUAGAAGGAGGAAGAAGCAGAGAGGCAAAUGAACGACGGGGGAAGGAAAGAACCGUAAACCCGAUAAAGGAGGAGCCCACGGCUUUGCCUCGCCGGAAUCUGCUAAUUCCGCUGUCCGGAAGCUUACCAGAUCUCUGUCAGUGACGUGGCCAGAUCCGGCACCGGAGAUGCACAUCGACGGCGACCGGGUUUCUAAAUCGUAAUCAGAAUUACUCGAGAACGACGAAUU